rnacentral:rRNA from 1 species
GACGAACGCUGGCGGCGUGCCUAAUACAUGCAAGUAGAACGCUGAAGGAGGAGCUUGCUUCUCUGGAUGAGUUGCGAACGGGUGAGUAACGCGUAGGUAACCUGCCUGGUAGCGGGGGAUAACUAUUGGAAACGAUAGCUAAUACCGCAUAAGAGUAGAUGUUGCAUGACAUUUGCUUAAAAGGUGCAAUUGCAUCACUACCAGAUGGACCUGCGUUGUAUUAGCUAGUUGGUGGGGUAACGGCUCACCAAGGCGACGAUACAUAGCCGACCUGAGAGGGUGAUCGGCCACACUGGGACUGAGACACGGCCCAGACUCCUACGGGAGGCAGCAGUAGGGAAUCUUCGGCAAUGGACGGAAGUCUGACCGAGCAACGCCGCGGGAGUGCAGAAGGUUUUCGGAUCGUAAAGCUCUGUUGUAAGAGAAGAACGAGUGUGAGAGUGGAAAGUUCACACUGUGACGGUAUCUUACCAGAAAGGGACGGCUAACUACGUG